CACAGAACAAGCAAGCACAAAAUUCGCAACCAUUGUACUGCAUUACUUAAAAAGUAAUACGAAGCCCAAAUUCCAAAAGAUACUCAACGCAUGAUGCUAAAUGCUAACACAAACCAACAGAAAGGAACAAAUCAAAAGCAAACCCAAAACUUCAAGUUGUAGAGUUAUGAUGUAAGCAACAGAGAAGAAAGGGUUAUAUGAUUUAGAAAACCUGUCACGGACUUGAAGCUGAUCGAUCAUGGAAGCCAUUCUCUGUUGAUCUUCCGCUGGAAGAGAAGCCAUAUCA
rnacentral:lncRNA from 1 species